rnacentral:lncRNA from 1 species
UACUGUGAAAGUACUUUAAUUCAUGGGUAUCAAUUUUCGUGGAUUGAGCAAUAUUUACAUGUUCGUGGGUUUUUUAAUUCGUGGAUUUUAUUUUAUUUUUUUUAAAUUGAAAAUUAAAGCCUUUAGAAACUAAAGGUAACAAAUGUUUUGAAUGGUGGAAAUUGCAAAGUAAGCAUUGACCCCUGUAAAUUGAAGUGAUAACACUAAUGAACCCAUGAUAAAGUGAUCAUCAAAGGUGUAAAUUAGGCCAUAAACAUGUCACCUAAAGAAAAUAGUAACAUAAAAAAUGAUAUAAACAAAUCUUAAAUUUUGAAAUAAUUCUUAUCAAAAUCAAGCCCAGUAUGAAAUUAUUAUUUCCCAUAUGUACGAGCAC